rnacentral:misc_RNA from 1 species
AAGGAUCAUUAUCGAAUUGUUAGGGAGGUUGUCGCUGGCUUGUUAUGAGCAUGUGCACACCUUCUAUGCAUUCAUCUCUACCCCUCUGUGCACCCUUUGUAGACUUGGAGAUAACUCUCAACCUAGUUGGAUGGAGGAUGAUGCAUUUCAUAUGCUUGUCUUCAAUUUCACAAGUCUAUGCCUUCAUAUACUCGAAUGUUUAGAAUGGUAUUCUUGUACUGGUCUUUGUACCUUUAUAAGCUUUAUAUACAACUUUCAGCAACGGAUCUCUUGGCUCUC